rnacentral:rRNA from 1 species
AUGGUUUCCCUGAAGCUGCAGAAGCGGCUCGCCUCGAGCAUGCUCAAGUGCGGCAAGGGCAAGGCCUGGCUCGACCCCAAUGAGGUCAACGAGAUCUCCAUGGACAAGGCAGGCCAGAACAUUCGUAAGUUGGUUAAGGACGGGUUCAUCAGCAAGAAGCCCCAAAAGAUCCACUCAAGGUCCCGUGCACGCAGAGCCCAUGAGGCAAAACAGAAGGGUCAUCAUUCUGGAUAUGGUAAGCACAGGGGUACCAGGGAGGCUAGGCUUCCCACCAAGAUUCUGUGGAUGAGGAGGAUGCGCGUGCUCAGGCGGCUGCUCCGCAAGUACCGUGAAGCAAAGAAGAUCGACAAGCACAUGUACCAUGACAUGUACUUGAAGGUCAAGGGUAACAUGUUCAGGAAUAAGCGUGUGCUUAUGGAAAGCAUUCACAAGUCAAAGGCUGAGAAGGCAAGAGAGAAGAUGCUCUCUGACCAGUUUGAGGCUAAGCCGUGA